AUACGUAGGGGGCGAGCGUUGUCCGGAUUUACUGGGCGUAAAGGGAGCGUAGGCGGAUUUUUAAGUGGGAUGUGAAAUACUCGGGCUUAACCUGAGUUCUGCAUUUCAAACUGGAAGUCUAGAGUGCAGGAGAGGAGAAGGGAAUUCCUAGUGUAGCGGUGAAAUGCGUAGAGAUUAGGAAGAACACCAGUGGCGAAGGCGCUUCUCUGGACUGUAACUGACGCUGAGGCUCGAAAGCGUGGGGAGC
rnacentral:rRNA from 1 species